rnacentral:tRNA from 1 species
GGGCCUUUAGCUCAGCGGUUAGAGCAGGCGACUCAUAAUCGCUUGGUCGCAGGUUCAAAUCCUGCAAGGCCUACCA